GAGCUUACUCCUUUCCCUCAACCUCUCUCUCUGCACCUUCUCUCUCGUACCCAUUGUCUCUUUUUAUAGAGCAUGAAAUGAAAGUAUAAUUUUUUUUGGAACUUUUUCUUGAAUAUUUACUCUUUUCUGUAAUUUUAUUUUCUUGAAAUCUCUGUUAUUUUUUUCUGCUGAACUUAUCAGAAGCCCAAAAAAUAUACCCCAGUGUUUUGCAGUCCAUGGAGCAGUGAUCUGUCUCUGACAGUUUCCAAGUCUUUACCAUUGUGUCUUUGUCCUUUCCCAUUUUUUAUAUACAAAUAUACAAAAAAAAUUCAAAAAGAAACAAAGAAAUGCCAGUGAAUGUUUUAGACUUUUAGUGGCGAGUUUAAAGGGAACAGCAGAACAUCGAGGAGACCCAUUUGGAGUUAUAUUUAGCAGAAUUUUUAUUUUGUUUGUUUAAAAAAAUUUGGAUUGCUCGGUGAAAAUGGAGAUCUAUGAAGUGGGUAUUUUUGUUUGGUGUUGUUUUUGUGUUUUUGGUCAGCAAAAUGCAUGGGGUUGGUAUAUAGUGGAUUCGGGGUGUGGAGUAAAGGAGAGCAGCUAGGGUUUUGUUUUUUGGGCUUAAAUCUUUUUAACUUUCUUAAACUGGGAAUAUCAUACAAAGAAGCAGACCCAAUAAAAUGGUGUUUGUAACAGAUUUGGUUGGUUUCUAAAAAGCUGAGUUGAGCUGAUUAUGAAGCUAGGUACACUUGCUGAUUGUUGUUUAUUGUUCUAUUUCAGCCUUAAGAAUGCAGAUAUUCAGUACAUUUGUGUGAGAAAAAGUAAAUUUUGGGGUUGAAUGAUUU
rnacentral:lncRNA from 1 species